rnacentral:rRNA from 1 species
UACGGGGGGGCAAGCGUUGUUCGGAAUUACUGGGCGUAAAGGGCUCGUAGGUGGCCAACUAAGUCAGACGUGAAAUCCCUCGGCUUAACCGGGAACUGCGUCUGAUACUGGAUGGCUUGAGAUUGGGAGAGGGAUGCGGAAUUCCAGGUGUAGCGGUGAAAUGCGUAGAUAUCUGGAGGAACACCGGUGGCGAAGGCGGCAUCCUGGACCAACACUGACACUGAGGAGCGAAAGCCAGGGAGCAAACGGG